rnacentral:rRNA from 1 species
AGGACAAACGCUGGCGGAAUGUAUUAGGCAUGCAAGUCGUACGAACCUUCGGGUUAGUGGCGAACGGGUGAGUAACACGUGGGUAACCUGCCUCGUAGUGGGGAAUAACUCGCCGAAAGGCGAGCUAAUACCGCAUAACACCCCUGGUGAGAUUCCGGGUGGUAAAAGCUCCGGCGCUACGAGAGGGGCCCGCGGUCGAUUAGCUAGUUGGUGGGGUAAUGGCCUACCAAGGCGACGAUCGAUAGCUGGUCUGAGAGGAUGGUCAGCCACACGGGGACUGAGAUACGGCCCCGACUCCUACGGGAGGCAGCAGCUAAGAAUCUUGCGCAAUGGGCGAAAGCCUGACGCAGCAAUUCCGCGUGGGGGACGAAGGCCCUCGGGUCGUAAACCCCUUUUACGAGGGAAGAAGUUCUGACGGUACCUCGUGAUAAGACACGGCUAACUACGUGCCAGCAGCCGC